AUUGAACGCUGGCGGCGUGCUUAACACAUGCAAGUCGAUCGGUAACGCGGGGGCAACCCUGGCGACGAGAGGCGGACGGGUGAGGAACGCUUGGGAAUCUGCCUAUCAGCGGGGGACAACACGGGGAAACGCGUGCUAAUACCGCAUACGCUCUACGGAGGAAAGCCGGGGACCGCAAGGCCUGGCACUGAUAGAUGAGCCCAAGCCGGAUUAGCUAGUUGGCGGGGUAACGGCCCACCAAGGCGACGAUCCGUAGCUGGUCUGAGAGGAUGAUCCGCCACACUGGGACUGAGACACGGCCCAGACUCCUACGGGAGGCAGCAGUGGGGAAUUUUGGACAAUGGGCGCAAGCCUGAUCCAGCCAUGCCGCGUGCGGGAAGAAGGCCUUCGGGUUGUAAACCGCUUUUGUCAGGGAAGAAACGCUCCGGGCUAAUACCCUGGGGUAAUGACGGUACCUGAAGAAUAAGCACCGGCUAACUACGUGCCAGCAGCCGCGGUAACAC
rnacentral:rRNA from 1 species